UACGGAGGGGGCUAGCGUUGUCCGAAGUUACUGGGCGUAAAGCGCACGUAGGCGGGUCGUUAAGUCAGGGGUGAAAUCCCGGAGCUCAACUCCGGAGCUGCCUUUGAGACUGCAUCGCUUGAAUCCAGGAGAGGUGAGUGGAAUUCCGAGCGUAGAGGUGAAAUUCGUAGAUAUUCGGAAGAACACCAGUGGCGAAGGCGGCUCACUGGACUGGUAUUGACGCUGAGGCACGAAAGCGUGGGGAGCAAACAGG
rnacentral:rRNA from 1 species